AGACGUCUACGAGUUUGAUCCUGGCUACAGAACGAACGCUGGCGGCAGGCCUAACACAUGCAAGUCGAGCGAACCCUUCGGGGUUAGCGGCGGACGGGUUAGUAACGCGUGGGAAUAUACCCUUUGGUACGGAAUAGCCUCGGGAAACUGAGAGUAAUACCGUAUGUGCCCUUCGGGGGAAAGAUUUAUCGCCAAAGGAUUAGCCCGCGUCGGAUUAGAUAGUUGGUGGGGUAAUGGCCUACCAAGUCUACGAUCCAUAGCUGGUUUGAGAGGAUGAUCAGCAACACUGGGACUGAGACACGGCCCAGACUCCUACGGGAGGCAGCAGUGGGGAAUCUUAGACAAUGGGCGCAAGCCUGAUCUAGCCAUGCCGCGUGGACGAUGAAGGCCUUAGGGUUGUAAAGUCCUUUCAGAUGGGAAGAUAAUGACGGUACCAUCAGAAUAAGCACCGGCUAACUACGUG
rnacentral:rRNA from 1 species